UGACCUUUGACGGCUGAACCUCGCGUUGAGAUUGCCUGACGAAAAGAGAAAAAAAAAACUGUGCCCAAUUAUACGCAAGAGGUGGGGGAGCCGGGGAGACCAGAUGACAGGCGCCGCCGGCGCAGCAUGCCGCCGAUGGGCCGGACGGCGGCGAAGUUUUUGGAUGGAAUAAGCCUCAAACAAGGACGGGAGCCGCCUGCAUUCUACUCUACUGUGUCGAGACUCGAGAGAUAGUAGAGGAGGAGGAAUCUGAACUGGAAAGCCGUUUAGAGAAAUGGGAAUGCGGAGCGCAAGCAGCUUGUCGAUCUGCCCGCCUCCAAGAGAUCUGUGGUGCGUGUCCUAAACCCCACCCCAUACCAAACAGCUACAUUUCAGUGUUGUCUGAAAGGCUAUCUAUGCUCCAGGGCACCUCUCAUGAAAUAGUACAAGCGCUUGGAUGACUGAUGAGGUACACUCGACGUACCUGCAUUUUGUAUGCAUGGAAUUUCAGUCAUCGGAGAGUAAUAGCUAAGAAAGGUUGUAAAUUCUUACUGAUGCUCCACCAUGAUGUCUGCAUAUAUUUCUGUCAUGUUGAAAAUCUGCCAUGAAAAAGAUCCAAAUCCUCAUUAUUCAAUACUCUACGAGAUUAUUUAGGCUCUGCAAUACUAGACACCUUAAGAAAAUUAUAUUUUUUGCACAUGAGAUGCCAGGUAAAUUUCCUUAAAAUUUAUGUCCUUUACAUUUGGCCAUAAUUGUUUUUUUGGCAAUGUACCGUUGUAUCAAUUCAUACUUGAAAUGUUGGUUAUUUAGCUGCAUGCCUCCAUGGUAUUUAUGUUUUUCUUUCUUUCAUCUUGGACUUCUCAUUACCAUCUUUACUCCUUUUCAUAUAGCUUAACCGUGAAUGUGGAACUUAAAAGUUCUUUAGGGAUGACAAAUAAAUGUACAUGCGCCUUCACUGCAAAAUAGUCCUAUUGUUCCUAAAGCCCUCGUGAUCUGCGAAUAAACACCAAAGCUGCUAUAGUUCAUUUACAAUGUCCCCAAAGCAAGAAAUUCUGACCCAACAUAAUUGCUUUCAGAUAUCUUGUGAUCAGAAUAGCACUGAAUACCUAACAUCCUAAACCAAACAAUAGGAAAUACAAUAUAUAUGCUAUUACAAUGCAAUGAUUGUGCGCAGACUUAGUUAACAAAUCAAGCAGAAACCAGGAACAUACCUCCAUCCAAGGAUACGUGCGAGCUAGUUCCCAAGUUCCAUAGCCACCAUUUGGGUUCUGUAUCAAUUCAGUGGUCAAAUCUGGUUACCCCACUGCUUUUCUUGGCAUACAUUUCGACCAUUAUGCUGUUACUGAACUCAGCGUCUAUAUUUUCAUAUGCUAAAACUGAUGGACAAACAUUUCUCAUUUGGAUGUGUCUGGAAAUUGAGCUUUGCCUUUUGUUUUCUGUACAGUAUGCUGUUCAAAAUAUCCAUAUAGACUGUUUGCAUAUUUUUUUUGAGUGUACCAUAAUCAUUAGCUAAAGCGGAAAUUUUGCGUCACUGCAUUUGCAUACUACAUUAGUUUUUAUUGUCACUUACAUUGCUUAAUGGUAAUUAACAGCAGCUAGAGCUGUUUUGUUUUCGUUGAGGAGAAAACGCGGGGAAGGGUGUGGACGCUUAAAAAAAGGGUACUGUUGUGGAGAUAGAAGUAUGUAGAACUGUUUUGACUUUUGAUUCACAACUCUACGAUGAAACAAAAUCACUUCAAUAUCUUGAACCUGUCUAAUAGCAUACGGGAUGCAAAGUAAAGUAGUUUCAUGCCUGUAAGGAUAAUAGUAAGUUCACUGCAUCAUGUAGGCGACAUGUUUCGAUCUGAUCACCUGCAAUUUCUGGUGAAAACUUUGACAGCAGUAACAAGGCCUGAAACAUGAGAAAAAAAAUAUCACUUUUUGUUAAUAGGUUUCUUGUUUUCCAUGUAUGUUUUGUGUCUGGAAAUGUUAUGGCGAACUGUAAGAACACUGGUGGCAGAUAUUGAACCUUAAGAGCUUCAGCUGUGCAAUCUGAAACUUGCCACCCCUGAUCUGCAACCUGGAAGGCCCACCCUCCUUUAGAUAUGUGACGGUACUUUCUGCUGAAGUCACCAGAAGGAUUGUCCAUGAUCUUAAAAUUUAAGUCAGUAGAGUUAAGCAAGUAAGUUUAUAGAAAUACAACUGAUAGAACUACAAUUCUGGACAAUAAUACCUGGGAAGCUUUUAUAAAAUCAUUCGCUUUCUUCAGGGUAUUUUUAUAUUCUUCUGCAAUAUUACACACUAAUAUCGCUUGAACUGCGAAAGCAACGUCCCAUAAUUGACCAGCACAGACCUUUGGAAAAACAAUGAUACAUAAACAUCAAUUUUGAGCACGUGGUGGUGUUGCAGAUUGACAGACUGCAUAAACUGCUGGGAUAUUGUAUUGUAAAUAAAAAUAGGGCUCUAGAGAAAUAUUCAAUUACCCGCACUUUCAUGCCAUCUUCACCAACCCACAGGAAAUCCGCUACCCUAGCCAAAUGGCGCUUGAAUGAAUCUGAAUUAGGAUUUUCAAUCCAACAGCACAACAUGGAUAAUGCCUGUAAUGUUUACUCUUUGUAAGAACGUGUGCAAUAUUCAUUAGCACCAGCUAGAAUUUGAUGUGUCCAUUCAUGCAAAUAAAUAUUUCCUAAGUUUUUGUUGUACCACUUCUUUGUACCGUGCAUUACUAAGAAGUGAGUGGUGGCUGACUGACUAUAUAUAUACACAAAAUCAGUCACUAUUACUAUUCACAACUUGGGCUUGUUUCCGCUUCUAUGUCUGAAGUUAGUUGCUGCGAGUUCCUCGUUUUAGGCGACAUAAAAGUCUUACCUUCUGUGCAGCACCUAUGCAGAUGUACUGAGAGUUCUCAUCUUCAUAUUUCAAGAACUCAGCGAUUUGUUGGAGGGCUUUCUUUCUCAUGUAGGAAACUGGCCACCGUGUGAGGAAAGGUUCACCAAAACUGUAAAGGCAGUCAGAUAGGCACUCCUGUAGCCAUGAGAGGGGGAGGGGACUACCUGGUUGAAUUGGAACCAAUGAUGGAAGAAGAAACAGUUCUGGAGGGAUGGGAUUUACACCUGACCAUUCAAAAACUCCAAGCACCUGCAAUAUCAGGUAAGAUCACUCAAUGCUGGAUCAUCAGAGCCAUCAUCAGAGAAAGCUGCAGCGUAGAGCCGGGUGACGUGCACUGCCAAUCAGGCUGUUGAGCCCCUAUUUAUCCCCCCGGGGAGAUCACGUGGAACCCAUGAGAGUAUCGUCAAGUUGCUCGAGGUGCCACGGAAACGCGCCCCCCUGCGCAACUGCUCGCAGAGCCGUGCAGGAGGGAAGCUUGCUUGGCAGCUGAGAACCCGGGGAAAUGGCUUAUGUGUUGAGUGGCUUGUGCUGCUGGCUUCUUCAUCACAGGAACUGCAUGCGGUGCUGCUCCAUAGCUAUGGAGGCGACAUGUGAAAAAAGAGUGGGUGUGAGCACUGUAUGCGAGCCCCAAUUCAAUUUCAACUUCUUGGGUUCAAGCUGGUAACUUCACGAACUGCGUGAAUCCAACAAAAUUUUGAAAAUUCUAUCACUAGCCCAUGUGAGCAA